CUUUGCCUUUUAAAGUACUCUGCUAAAAUUGUGAGGGUGUAGCCUCAAGCUUGGCUGUUGCAGGCAUGCGAGCACGGGUACACCAAGGAAGGAUAGAAAAGGCAAGGACGGACUGCUUUCUUAAUGUUCUGUGUCCUUUGUCUCAAGGCGCCGUGCUACAAUA